CGGGUGACGUCGUCGGCGGCACGCCAACCUGCACCGUUCGUUUCGUGCAAGCCGCCUGCUGGCGUCAGAGCAGUGACGAUGACGCACCCG
rnacentral:ncRNA from 1 species